UGAACAUGAAUCAAAAUAAUAUAAAAUAACAUAAAAUAAAUAAGAUGUAAGGACUGGUGGGUCUUGAUCUGCCACGUGGACUUCAUCUAAGUUUUAGCUGUAUAUGGUUACCACUUCAUGCUACUGGGCUGUCUUAUCCAAAAGAUACCUCCAGGGGGGUGGCAAUUCUUGCGUCGGACGGCUAUUCAGGAGCUUCUUUUUCUUUUUUCUCGUGUGGAUCUGCAUAGUCUCUGCCAGCAGAGCAUGUCUAUCUUUCUUUAAAGUUUUGGCAGCUUUCGCCUCGGACCGCUCUACUUGUGGGUCGUGCUUGUGGGAGCUCGCUGCCAGGGCUGUAUUGGUUUUCUUUUACGCAAAUCGUUCUUGUGCUCUCUUAAUCUCUGGUUGAGAGUUCUGGUGGUUACCUCUAUGUAUGCUUGAUCUUCUUCUGGGAUGUUAUUCUUGACUGGCAUUCUAUGCACUCCUGAUUUGUGC
rnacentral:lncRNA from 1 species